rnacentral:rRNA from 1 species
GAUAAACGCUGGCGGCGUGCCUAAUACAUGCAAGUCGUGCGGUAACAGGGAGAGCUUGCUCUCUGCUGACGAGCGGCGGACGGGUGAGUAACGCGUAAGAAUGUACCCUAAACUGAGGGAUAAGCACCAGAAAUGGUGUCUAAUACCGCAUAUGCUCUAAGGAGUAAAGCUUCGGCGGUUUAGGAACAGCUUGCGUCUGAUUAGCUAGUUGGUAGGGUAAUGGCCUACCAAGGCGACGAUCAGUAGCUGGUUCGAGAGGAUGAUCAGCCACACUGGGACUGAGACACGGCCCAGACUCCUACGGGAGGCAGCAGUAGGGAAUUUUCCACAAUGGGGGCAACCCUGAUGGAGCAACGCCGCGUGCAGGAUGACGGCCUUCGGGUUGUAAACUGCUUUUCUCUGUGACGAAUAUGACGGUAGCAGAAGAAUAAGGAUCGGCUAACUACGUG